rnacentral:rRNA from 1 species
GACGAACGCUGGCGGCGUGCCUAAUACAUGCAAGUCGAACGCAGUGGGGACGGGUGAGUAACACGUGGGUAACCUCCCAUCAGAGGAGAUAACCAUUGGAAAAAGGUGCUAAACCGGAAAUGAUGGAUGGACCCGCGGUGAAUUAGCUAGUUGGUGAGGUAACGGCUCACCAAGGCCACGUUGCAUAGCCGCCCUGAUAGGGUGAUCGGCCACACUGGGACUGAGACACGGCCCACACUCCUACGGUAGGCAGCAGUAGGGAAUCUUCGGAAAUGGACGAAAGUCUGACCGAGCAACGCCGCGGUAGUGAAGAAGGUUUGCGGAUCGUAAAACUCUGUUGUUAGAGAAGCGGUAUCUAACCAGAAAGCCACGGCUAACUACGUGCCAGCCGCCGCGGUAAUA